GUGCUCUGUCACCUUCUUGCUGUCGCAUGUUGUCCUUUCACCUGCCACCUCUUCAGGGCUUGUCCUUGGAUCCCGGGGGUCUGGAUCUGGCCCUGAGGGAAGAGCUCCCUGCUGAGCACCAGGAACGUGCAGAGCCACUGCUCGUGCUGCAGAUUGAACGUCCAGUACCAAAGAGCAAAGCUCUGCUUUGCAAAGCACUGCCCCAGCCAGAAGCACCCAUGGGCUGCAGCAUCCCUGGUCCAGCAGCAUCCCUGGUCCAGAGCAUCCCACCUCGGCAGGUCCCGGGGAAACUGCCUUUUCUCCCUUGAAUCUAAGGAGCCUGGCAGGAAGUCUCCUGCAGGCAGGAAGCCUCCCCUCUGCUGUUGCUUUGCUCUGCCUUGAGCCAUCGAGGUAUUUCCUAGGAGUGGCACCAGGAUGUUUUCAAGGGAAAGACGUGAGACCUUCCCUGGCUGGGCCAUUCCUCACGGGGAGUCUCCUCUCUGGGCAGAGCACCGUGACCCCCCUGUCAAGGAUCAAGGACUGCCCCAGUGCCCUGUUUGCUGUUGGGAAGUGCUUCGGAUCAGUGUCUGCAGCGUUCAUGGGGUGCUGCAUUCCCUGACACGUUAAAAGCAUGGACCUGCCCUGCGUGACACACGUGUGGGCUCGUUCCAGAGGUUGCUCUGGGGUCUUGUCCUUGUGUCUCUCCCAUCUCCAGCCAGUAUCUGCCUCCUUGCAGCAGUCGGGGCUGUGGUUCCCUUCAUGGGACCUCCUUUACCUCACAGUGACACCAAAGAGCCCCGACUGCUGCUCCGGCUCUUCCCGCAGCUUUCCCUGGUCCCUCCCCAUUCCCACCUCUAUUUAAACUGUGUCCCACCCCGGCCCCGGCUCAUCCACUGGGCACUUGCUGAAUUCUCAGCAGGGAGAGAAAAGGGCUCUGGGAAAACCCAUUUCAGAGAGGCUGAAACUCAGGAAUAACGAGGAGGAAUCCUCCCACCGGGCCCCUCUGCCACCCGGAGGCUCCGACAUUGAUUUCCAAUAUAUGCAAUUCCCUCUUCCCCUCAUCUCUGGGAAGCCAGAGAGCACCUUCGAGGAAGCCCUUCCCUGCCCCGAUCCUGUGUUUUUGUCAGGAUUAAUAAUAUGUACCAAUAGCUUUUAACUAAAUUAUUAUGCAGUCGUCCCACUGCUGGGCUCUAUUUUGAAAUGAGGCCCAUUUCUUCUGCCCCUCCACCUUUUUGUUAGCACUUUUUAACCCGCUUGUCGUUUGCCUUUGGUUUUCUAUGUGUAUUUAUAAUGGAGAUGUAUAUAUGUAAAGAGAUUUUUUUUUUUAGAAUAUGUGCCUUUGACUAAUAAUUCCUGGAUUUUCUACCUGCCUUGGAAGGAGAAUUUUUUCAUUCUGCUCAGUAAAAAUGGAAAGGAAGCC
rnacentral:lncRNA from 1 species